CAUCCAUCCAAUUAUUCUUCAAGCCUGUUAAUGUUCAAUUCGUGCCAGACAUUGUAUUAGGCAAAGAAGACACAGAGGUAGAAGUGAGAGGCAGGGAGACAGUUUUGUGCUUGCUAUAUAAGUACGAAGACCUGAGUUCGGAUCCCCAGGUCCUACCUAAAAAGCUUACAAUCCCAGUAGUGGGGAGGCAGAGACAGGCAGCUCCUUAUAGCUCCUUGGUUGGUCCACUUCACGCCAGGAGUCUUCAGUUUCUUAGCAAUUGUUUACUGCGUUUAUAGCUUCAGAGAGGGGCCUUGUGAGUUGAUAAGUUUCCUUAGCUGGAGAAUUGUGUUUCAAAUGAGACCAGCAACACAAUAGUUUCAGGUCUCAAAGAGACCUUGCCUCCUAGCACUUCUUGCUCCGCCCCCUACUCUACACCUCUCCAAUACAAGGGGCUUGCUUUCUCGCUCCGCCCCCUACCCUACACCUCUCCAAUCCAGGGCCUUGCUUUCUCGCUCCGCCCCCUACCCUACACCUCUCCAAUCCAGGGCCUUGCUUUCUCGCUCCGCCCCCUACCCUACACCUCUCCAAUCCAGGGCCUUGCUUUCUCGCUCCGCCCCCUACCCUACACCUCUCCAAUCCAGGGCCUUGCUUUCUUGCUCCACUCCCUACCCUACCCUUCUCCAAACUUGAGGCUGACUUUCAGUUUCUUCCACCCAGCUUCGGUUCUUAUAAACACUUUGGCCACACACUCUCUUGGUUCAUUCUUUCUUUGUUACCUUUCCUUCCUGGCCUCUUGGUGGCUCCUUUCUUGGUCUGCUCAAAGCUUCCCCCUUUCCCUUCAAACCCUGUGCCCACCGCCCCAGCCCCAUCUGCUUCCUUCAAGGCCUGUAGCUGCUCACCGAGUUUUCCUAGAGUCAGUACUGGUGUGAGAGCCUCUUGGAUCUGCUGACUUGGGACCCUGGUACAGUCCUGGACCCGUGAUCAGAGCUGAGCUGAGCUGAGGAGUUGGGGAUAAAAAAGGCACUCAGAAACUGACAGAGGCGGCCAUUAAGGCAGAUGGCUUCUGCUCCCGGUGGAGAGGCUCAGGUAAAGUAGCGUGUCCUCAGGUGAUGAGAAAACACCAUGACC
rnacentral:sRNA from 1 species